GGGGAUGUAGCUCAGUGGUAGAGCACUUGCCUAGCAUGUGCAAGGCCCAUAGGUUCCAUCCCCA
rnacentral:tRNA from 1 species